rfam:Zancudomyces culisetae strain COL-18-3 scaffold-147, whole genome shotgun sequence.
GGUGACUUGCCCGAGUGGUCCAAGGGGUCAGGUUUAGGCCCUGAUAUGUUCGCAUGCGUGGGUUCGAACCCCACAGUCAUCA